UCCUACGGGAGGCAGCAGUGAGGAAUCUUCCACAAUGGGCGAAAGCCUGAUGGAGCGACGCCGCGUGCAGGAUGAAGGCCCUCGGGUUGUAAACUGCUUUUAUAAGUGAAGAAUAUGACGGUAACUUAUGAAUAAGCACCGGCUAACUACGUGCCAGCAGCCGCGGUCAUACGUAGGGUGCAAGCAUUAUCCGGAGUGACUGGGCGUAAAGAGUUGCGUAGGUGGCUUUGUAAGCGAAUAGUGAAAUCUGACGGCUCAACCGUACAGACUAUUAUUCGAACUGCAAGGCUCGAGAGUAGCAGAGGUAACGGAGUUUGUAAAUCCCGAUGAUCCGUAGAGGCAGAAGGAU
rnacentral:rRNA from 1 species